UUGUAUGAGUGAUAAAUAAGGAGUCGGACCUGCCCGGUGAAGGAUUUUAACGGCCGCGGUACUCUGACCGUGCAAAGGUAGCAUAAUCAUUUGCCUUAUAAUUGAAGGCUGGUAUGAAUGGUUUGACAAGAAUAUAGCUGUCUCUUUAUGAUUUGGUAGAAUUUUAUUUUAAGGUGAAAAAGCCUUAAUUUAAUUAAUAGACAAGAAGACCCUAUCGAGCUUAAGAGAAUUUAGUGGAUUAUAAAAGGCUUUAUCGGUGGAAAGGGUGACCUACUAAACAUUUUGGUUGGGGCGACUGAGGAACAUGAGAAGCUUCCUUUAUAUUAUUUAUACGUACAGGUAUUGAUCCAAAAAUGUUGAUUAAAGGAAUUAGUUACCGUAGGGAUAACAGCAUUAUCUUUUUUGAGAGUUCUUAUCGAAAAAAGGGUUUGUGACCUCGAUGUUGGACCAGAAUGUCCUGAAGAUGUAGAAGUCUUCAAGGGUUGGUCUGUUCGACCAUUAAAAUUCUA
rnacentral:rRNA from 1 species